rnacentral:snRNA from 1 species
CUUAUUGCAGUAUGCAGGCUAU